rfam:Pepper vein yellows virus genomic RNA, complete genome.
GAUAACUAGCCAAGCAUACAUCAGUUGCAAGCGUUGGAAAGUUUUAGUCUGAUUACCA